rnacentral:rRNA from 1 species
CGGUAACGCGGGGCAACCUGGCGACGAGUGGCGAACGGGUGAGUAAUGUAUCGGAACGUGCCCAGUUGUGGGGGAUAACUGCUCGAAAGAGCAGCUAAUACCGCAUACGACCUGAGGGUGAAAGCGGGGGAUCGCAAGACCUCGCGCAAUUGGAGCGGCCGAUAUCAGAUUAGGUAGUUGGUGGGGUAAAGGCCCACCAAGCCAACGAUCUGUAGCUGGUCUGAGAGGACGACCAGCCACACUGGGACUGAGACACGGCCCAGACUCCUACGGGAGGCAGCAGUGGGGAAUUUUGGACAAUGGACGCAAGUCUGAUCCAGCCAUGCCGCGUGCGGGAAGAAGGCCUUCGGGUUGUAAACCGCUUUUGUCAGGGAAGAAACGGUCUGGGUUAAUACCUCGGGCUAAUGACGGUACCUGAAGAAUAAGCACCGGCUAACUACGUGCCAGCAGCCGCGGUAAUACGUAGGGUGCAAGCGUUAAUCGGAAUUACUGGGCGUAAAGCGUGCGCAGGCGGUUAUGCAAGACAGAGGUGAAAUCCCCGGGCUCAACCUGGGAACUGCCUUUGUGACUGCAUAGCUAGAGUACGGUAGAGGGGGAUGGAAUUCCGCGUGUAGCAGUGAAAUGCGUAGAUAUGCGGAGGAACACCGAUGGCGAAAGCAAUCCCCUGGACCUGUACUGACGCUCAUGCACGAAAGCGUGGGGAGCAAACAGGAUUAGAUACCCU